UACGUAGGGUCCAAGCGUUAUCCGGAAUCACUGGGCGUAAAGCGUGCGUAGGCGGGUGUUUAAGUGCAAUGCGAAAUCCUGUGGCUCAACCAUAUGGACUGUAUUGCAUACUGGAUACCUGGAGGAAUGCAGAGGCAAGUGGAAUUACCGGUGUAGCAGUGAAAUGCGUAGAUAUCGGUAGGAACACCAAUGGCGAAGGCAGCUUGCUGGGCAUUUUCUGACGCUAAGGCACGAAAGCGUGGGGAGCGAACAGG
rnacentral:rRNA from 1 species